GAUGAACGCUGGCGGCGUGCCUAAUACAUGCAAGUCGAGCGAACAGAUGAGGAGCUUGCUCCUCUGACGUUAGCGGCGGACGGGUGAGUAACACGUGGAUAACCUACCUAUAGGACUGGGAUAACUUCGGGAAACCGGAGCUAAUACCGGAUAAUAUAUUGAACCGCAUGGUUCAAUAGUGAAAGACGGUUUUGCUGCCACUUAUAGAUGGAUCCGCGCCGCAUUAGCUAGUUGGUAAGGUAACGGCUUACCAAGGCAACGAUGCGUAGCCGACCUGAGAGGGUGAUCGGCCACAAUGGAACUGAGACACGGUCCAGACUCCUACGGGAGGCAGCAGUAGGGAAUCUUCCGCAAUGGGCGAAAGCCUGACGGAGCAACGCCGCGUGAGUGAUGAAGGUCUUCGGAUCGUAAAACUCUGUUAUUAGGGAAGAACAAAUGUGUAAGUAACUAUGCACGUCUUGACGGUACCUAAUCAGAAAGCCACGGCUAACUACGU
rnacentral:rRNA from 1 species